rnacentral:rRNA from 1 species
AUUGAACGCUGGCGGCAGGCCUAACACAUGCAAGUCGAGCGAGCGGCGGACGGGUGAGUAAGGUAUGGGGACUGCCCGAUAGAGGGGGAUAACUACUGGAAACGGUAGCUAAUACCGCAUACUAUCGGAUAACCCAUAUGGGAUUAGCUAGUAGGGAAGGUAAUGGCUCACCUAGGCGACGAUCCCUAGCUGGUCUGAGAGGAUGAUCGGCCACACUGGGACUGAGACACGGCCCAGACUCCUACGGAGGCAGCAGUGGGGAAUAUUGCGCAAUGGGCGAAAGCCUGAUGCAGCCAUGCCGCGUGUGUGAAGAAGGCCUUAGGGUUGUAAAGUACUUUCAGUCGGGAGGCGUUACCGACAGAAGAAGCACCGGCUAACUCCGUGCCAGCAGCCGCGGUAAUUC